rnacentral:sRNA from 1 species
GCCAGGCAUGGUGGCUCAUGCCUGUAAUCUCAGCACUUCAAGAGGCUGAGGUGGGAGGAUCACCUGAGGUCAGGAGUUUGAGACCAGCCUGGCCAACAUGGUGAAACCCCAUCUCUA